CUACGGGGUGCAGCAGUGGGGAAUAUUGCACAAUGGGGGAAACCCUGAUGCAGCAACGCCGCGUGGAGGAUGACGCAUUUCGGUGUGUAAACUCCUUUUAUAUCCCAAGAUAAUGACGGUAGGAUAUGAAUAAGCACCGGCUAACUCCGUGCCAGCAGCCGCGGUAAUACGGGAGGGUGCAAGCGUUACUCGGAAUCACUGGGCGUAAAGGGCGCGUAGGCGGGUUGUCAAGUCUUGAGUGAAAUCCAACGGCUCAACCGUUGAGCUGCUUGAAAAACUGGCAGCCUAGAGUAAGGGAGAGGUAGAUGGAAUUGGUGGUGUAGGGGUAAAAUCCGUAGAGAUCACCAGGAAUACCCAUUGCGAAGGCGAUCUGCUGGAACUUUACUGACGCUGAGGCGCGAAAGCGUGGGGAGCAAACAGGAUUAGAUACCCCUGUAGUC
rnacentral:rRNA from 1 species